GUGGGGAAUAUUGGACAAUGGGCGAAAGCCUGAUCCAGCAAUGCCGCGUGUGUGAAGAAGGCCUGCGGGUUGUAAAGCACUUUUAUCGGGAAAGAAAAUCCCAGGGUUAAUACCCCUGGGCCUUGACGGUACCCGAGGAAUAAGCACCGGCUAACUCCGUGCCAGCAGCCGCGGUAAUACGGAGGGUGCAAGCGUUAAUCGGAAUUACUGGGCGUAAAGCGAGUGUAGGCGGCUGCAUAAGUCGGAUGUGAAAUCCCCGGGCUUAACCUGGGAAUGGCAUUCGAUACUGUGCGGCUAGAGUCUGAUAGAGGGAAGUGGAAUUCCAGGUGUAGCGGUGAAAUGCGUAGAUAUCUGGAAGAACAUCAGUGGCGAAGGCGGCUUCCUGGAUCAAGACUGACGCUGAGGCUCGAAAGCGUGGGGAUCAAACAGGAUUAGAAACCCCUGUAGUCC
rnacentral:rRNA from 1 species